AACCAGUGUCAGCAGAGUCCAACAAAGACCAG
rnacentral:piRNA from 1 species